UACGUAUGGGGCAAGCGUCAUCCGGAUUUACUGGGUGUAAAGGGAGCGUAGGCGGCGGGGCAAGCCUGAUGUGAAAGCCCGGGGCUCAACCCCGGGACUGCAUUGGGAACUGCCCUGCUGGAGUGCCGGAGGGGCAGGCGGAAUUCCUAGUGUAGCGGUGAAAUGCGUAGAUAUUAGGAGGAACACCAGUGGCGAAGGCGGCCUGCUGGACGGUGACUGACGCUGAGGCUCGAAAGCGUGGGGAGCAAACAGG
rnacentral:rRNA from 1 species